CCCUUAGAUGUUCUGGGCCGCACGCGUGCUACACUGGUGUCUGCAACGAGUUUAAGACCUUGGUCGAUAGGCCCGGGUAAUCUUAUCAAAAGACACCGUGAUUGGGAUCGACGAUUGCAAUUUUUCGUCGUGAACGAGGAAUGCCUAGUAAGUGCAAGUCAUCAACUUGCGUUGAUUACGUCCCUGCCCUUUGUACACACCGCCCGUCGCUUCUACCGAUUGAAUGCUCCGGUGAGAAGUCCUGGACCUGUCUGCGCGUGUGUCUCGACGCUCUCGUAGCGCGGCACGCGUACGGGGAAGAACUUCGAACCUAGGCAUUUAGAGGAAGAAGAAGUCGUAACA
rnacentral:rRNA from 1 species